UACGUAGGGUGCGAGCGUUAAUCGGAAUUACUGGGCGUAAAGCGUGCGCAGGCGGUUUGUAAGCCAGAUGUGAAAUCCCCGGGCUUAACCUGGGAAUGGCAUUUGGGACUGCAAGGCUGGAGUGUGGCAGAGGAGACUGGAAUUCCGUGGUGUAGCAGUGAAAUGCGUAGAUAUCAGGAGGAAUACCGAUGGCGAAGGCAGGUCUCUGGGCUGACACGUGACGCUCGA
rnacentral:rRNA from 1 species